AACGCAUAUUGCGCUCUUUGGUAUUCCGAAGAGCAUGCUUGUUUGAGUAUCAGUAAACACCUCAAAAGAUUUUCUUUAUUGAAAUGAUUUUGGACUUGAGCAAUCCCAACACCAGUCUUUACGGAUUGGCGGAGGGUUGCUUGAAAUGCAGGUGCAGCUGGACAUUCUCCUGAGCUAAAAGCAUAUCUAUUUAGUCCCGUCAAACGGAUUAUUACUUUUGCUGCAGCUAACAUAAAGGGAGUUUGACCAUUUUGGCUGACUGAUGCAGGAUUUCACAAGGGUCGGUAAAACGAUUUUUGUAAAACUCGAUCUCAAAUCAAGUAAGACUACCCGCUGAACUUAA
rnacentral:misc_RNA from 1 species